rnacentral:rRNA from 1 species
UACGGGAGGCAGCAGUGGGGAAUAUUGCACAAUGGGGGAAACCCUGAUGCAGCCAUGCCGCGUGUGUGAAGAAGGCCUUCGGGUUGUAAAGCACUUUCAGUAGGGAGGAAGGUAGUGUAGUUAACACCUGCAUUAUUUGACGUUACCUACAGAAGAAGCACCGGCUAACUCCGUGCCAGCAGCCGCGGUAAUACGGAGGGUGCGAGCGUUAAUCGGAAUUACUGGGCGUAAAGCGCAUGCAGGCGGCCUGUUAAGUCAGAUGUGAAAGCCCGGGGCUUAACCUCGGAAUUGCAUUUGAAACUGGCAGGCUAGAGUCUUGUAGAGGGGGUAGAAUUUCAGGUGUAGCGGUGAAAUGCGUAGAGAUCUGAAGGAAUACCGGUGGCGAAGGCGGCCCCCUGGACAGAUACUGACACUCAGAUGCGAAAGCGUGGGGAGCAAACAGGAUUAGAUACCCUGGUAG